rnacentral:lncRNA from 14 species
GACAGCCCAUGCUUCUUCAGGUAUCAGCCUCAGAAUGGAGGUCACUUGGAGUCCAGGAUCUUAACUAAAUGGAGUCCCCCAGUGUCCAUACCUUUUCAAUGGGGAGACCGAGGCUAGGGUCUGGAUUUUCCCAAGGCUGGUUCUGUUCCUCAUAGAGCUAUCUUCUCAGAAUGAAGAAGCUCCUGCCUGGUUGCUUCCAAGGCCUUUUCUACUUCAGGACCAUGGAAGCCGAGUCAUUCAAAGCAACUGUGGACUGCUCAAGGAGUGACUAAUUUGGGAAAUCUUACAUCAGUUCGGAAGCUUGGGUUGCCAGUUGUCAUCUCCUUCAUUCCAGGAGUUUGAAAAUUUAUAACUGUAGGAGCAAGUCUGCAAACCAUAGUGAUCUGUUGAUUGCCUUCUGUGAACUGUUCACAUAGACCACAGGAACAUCAUGUUUCACAGUUCUAGUAAUGGAGACUAUGACUUUGGGAUGCUUCUGCACUUUGCAUUUUUGGACUGUCAUAUGAAGCAUGUGUUUGGUUCAGUGGAUAGCAAGCAUAUCCUUUAAGCAUUCCAGAAGGAUUUUGAGAACCAUCCUUUCCUAAAUCAAAGCUAGAAUAUUUGGAGAUUUGGAAAAUUGAGGUCAGAUCAGAAGGACUUCUCGGAAAGCUGGACCUCAUGGCACUCACCGAUCAUUCUGAUAUCCAGAGAAGCCGAGGUGAGAAGCAUUGAUUUA